GACGUAGGGCGCGAGCGUUGUCCGGAUUUAUUGGGCGUAAGGAGCUCGUAGGCGGUCUGUCGCGUCGGAUGUGAAAAUCAGGGCUCAACCCUGGACCUGCAUUCGAUACGGGCAGACUAGAGUUCGGUAGGGGAGACUGGAAUUCCUGGUGUAGCGGUGAAAUGCGCAGAUAUCAGGAGGAACACCGGUGGCGAAGGCGGGUCUCUGGGCCGAAACUGACGCUGAGGAGCGAAAGCGUGGGGAGCAAACAGG
rnacentral:rRNA from 1 species